AUAAAAUCUUAGGGGAAAAAAAAAAGAAUUCUGUGGAGAGGAACAAUUCUGAGUGUUUACCCAAUUUUUUUGAGCCUUGUGCUUU